UGGGGAAUAUUGGACAAUGGGCGAAGGCCUGAUCCAGCCAUGCCGCGUGAGUGAUGAAGGCCUUAGGGUUGUAAAGCUCUUUCGCCGGUGAAGAUAAUGACGGUAACCGGUAAAGAAGCCCCGGCUAACUUCGUGCCAGCAGCCGCGGUAAUACGAAGGGGGCUAGCGUUGUUCGGAAUUACUGGGCGUAAAGCGCGCGUAGGCGGGUCAUUAAGUCAGGGGUGAAAUCCCGAGGCUCAACCUCGGAAUUGCCUUUGAUACUGGUGACCUCGAGUCCGAGAGAGGUGAGUGGAACUCCGAGUGUAGAGGUGAAAUUCGUAGAUAUUCGGAAGAACACCAGUGACGAAGGCGGCUCACUGGCUCGGUACUGACGCUGAGGUGCGAAAGCGUGGGGAGCAAACAGGAUUAGAUACCCCCGUAGUCC
rnacentral:rRNA from 1 species